UAUGUGCGAAGGCCUAACCUGCAAGUCGAGCGGCAGCACGGGUACUUGUACCUGGUGGCGAGCGGCGGACGGGUGAGUAAUGCCUAGGAAUCUGCCUGGUAGUGGGGGAUAACGCUCGGAAACGGACGCUAAUACCGCAUACGUCCUACGGGAGAAAGCAGGGGACCUUCGGGCCUUGCGCUAUCAGAUGAGCCUAGGUCGGAUUAGCUAGUUGGUGAGGUAAUGGCUCACCAAGGCGACGAUCCGUAACUGGUCUGAGAGGAUGAUCAGUCACACUGGAACUGAGACACGGUCCAGACUACUACGGGAGGCAGCAGUGGGGAAUAUUGGACAAUGGGCGAAAGCCUGAUCCAGCCAUGCCGCGUGUGUGAAGAAGGUCUUCGGAUUGUAAAGCACUUUAAGUUGGGAGGAAGGGCAGUUACCUAAUACGUAAUUGUUUUGACGUUACCGACAGAAUAAGCACCGGCUAACUCUGUGCCAGCAGCCGCGGUAAUACAGAGGGUGCAAGCGUUAAUCGGAAUUACUGGGCGUAAAGCGCGCGUAGGUGGUUCGUUAAGUUGGAUGUGAAAUCCCCGGGCUCAACCUGGGAACUGCAUUCAAAACUGUCGAGCUAGAGUAUGGUAGAGGGUGGUGGAAUUUCCUGUGUAGCGGUGAAAAUGCGUAAAA
rnacentral:rRNA from 1 species